rnacentral:lncRNA from 1 species
UACUUAGAGCCCUCAGCCUUCAGCCUUCAGCUUGAGCCCUUCAGUUUUGCUUCUACUCCUAACUGCCGCUGCGCCCAAAUUUGCCAUCAUCUCUCUCACAACUCACCACCAAUAGGCACCCCUCACGCAACCAGUCGCGACUCGUGGCCUACCCCUUCUCCAGCCCAGUUGCGUCUUACUCUUCCCCAGCCCAGUCGCGAGCGGCGAGCCUACCGCCCCAACCUUGUUGCCCCCUACCCUAGUUCCCGAGGAGGAUGAUGAUGCUUCCAUUAUUCUCAACACCGCAAAUAUUUCUGCUCAUCAUCGCCUUAAUUUUUCCACCACAACCUCUUCCAAGGACCACACCAGGUAUUUAAUUAUAUUUAUAUUUAUCUAGAAAUUUAUAAUUUUAUAUACAAUUCUCGGUGAUUAUAAACUAAAUAUGUGUCUUUCUUGGUUGCU